rnacentral:misc_RNA from 1 species
AGUUUGCGUGAGGGGUAGAAACGGCAUCCUUUUGUGACAAAAUGAAACGCCUUAUUUUACUCUGAAUUUUAUGGAACAAAAGAUAUAGUGGAUGACCCGACCCUGU